CCAAUCAAUCGAUCUCUGCCAAGAAACUAAAAAUCAAACCACCCGCUAUGCAGUGAAUAAAACCAAAAGUGUGAAAAGUGUGUCCAACCAUCGUGCAACCUGAGAUGCUACGAGAACUACUACAACUACAUGUAAAGUGUGGAGCAACCCGGAGGAGAGUUAAGCAGAGACAUCCGAGUAACUUCUCCAUUACUCAGCAACGUUGGUGAGUUUGCAUGUGUUAGGUUACGGGUAUUUCCCUGGGACUCCUUCAUCACGUGGCGUGGCGGUAACAAUUG
rnacentral:lncRNA from 1 species